GCGCCCUUAGCUCAGUUGGAUAGAGCAACGACCUUCUAAGUCGUGGGCCGCAGGUUCGAAUCCAGCAGGGCGCGCCA
rnacentral:tRNA from 1 species